UCUUCAGAGACAAGAGGCAUUCCUUGUACCUUUUCUUGCCCUGACCAUAAACAGCAACCCUGUGAGUCAUGGAGAAGGCCUGGCUCUCAGAAGGGGAAGGAGCACCAGGGAUGAGGGAACUGUACUUCAGCCUGAGUUCUCUCAUCCGGGUGCAGAGGCAGAUGAGAGCCACCAGCUUAGCCUCUCAGUUGCCAAAUGAAGUAGGAACAACAAGAAAACGUUGAGCCAAGUGCCUCUCCACCUUCAAGAUCCACUAUUGCCCUUCAGCAACGGCACCCAGAGUCCUACACCAACUGGACACUCUACUUAAUGGUCAUCACUGGACCAACCUCUAAAAACUCAGGACCCACGAGAGGGAGGACACCCCAUGGGUAUGAGAGGCUCCAUGUGGUGGAAGGAAAGAACGACUGCCCCAUGUUGUUCUGGGCUGUCCACAUGAGUGCUGCUGUACGCCCAUACACACGCUCAGACACAAAGGGACAGUCAGAGAAAGCAGCAGUCAGGAGAUCUCCCGGCUCUGAUACCCAGAGUGAAGAGUCCUGGCCUACUCGUUUCUUUUCUACUAACUGCAGCUUGGGUCUCAAGUCCAUGUGGGCACUGAGCAAACACCCAAGAAUAACUUUUAGAAGAUGCUUCACAAACCUGAGGGGAAUCAACUGGAACCAGGCCUAACAAGUCCUUUUCUUUCCAACUGCUUGCUGUAAGAAAGGCAGUCAGCCAGCCGGUGUGCUGCCAUGCUACUGAUGUUCAAAACAAUCCUGGCCUCUUAGUGGCCUCUCCAGGGAAGGGCCUUGAGCUACAACUUCCCAGAGGAGUUCCUGGGAGGCUCCUGCAGCCUCAGCAGCCCGAGAUGACAUGACUUUCAUCUUUUGCGCUAGGAAAUCGGGCUUGACAAAGGACUAUAAAGAGGUUGUGUGCUCCUCUGUCCUGAAUCCAAGACCAGAGAUUACAAAAUAAGGUAAAUACUUGUAGAGAGUAAAUAUUGUGUAAGUAAGAAUUUUGAAAUACUUGAUGUAAAAGAUAUAAGAGGAAAAUAAAACAUGGUGGGGAAACUCCAUCACCCCACAGCGCGUGGUCAGUAGAAA